GAUGAAGAACGUAGCAAAAUGCGAUACUUGGUGUGAAUUGCAGAAUCCCGUGAACCAUCGAGUUUUUGAACGCAAGUUGCGCCCGAAGCCUUUUGGCCGAGGGCACGUCUGCCUGGGCGUCACGCAUCGCGUCGCCCCCCACAAUUCUCCGUAAAAGGAACAUGUGUUUUGGGGGCGGAUAUUGGUCUCCCGUGCUCAUGGCGUGGUUGGCCGAAAUAGGAGUCCUUUCGAUGGACGCGCGAACUAGUGGUGGUCGUAAAAGCCCUCGUCUUUUGUUUCGUGCUGUUGCUCGCAAGGUAAACUCUUUAAAAACCCCAAUGUGUCGUCUCUUGACGACGCUUCGACCGCGACCCCAGGUCAGGCGGGACUACCCGCUGAGUUUAAGCAUAUCAAUAAGCGGAGGA
rnacentral:misc_RNA from 1 species